UGUCAGCCUUCUCUCCAGAAAUAGAGAGU
rnacentral:piRNA from 1 species